rnacentral:tRNA from 1 species
GGGAACAUGGCUUAGUGGUAAAGUGCUUGCCUAGUAUGCAUGAGGCCCUAGGUUUGACUCCUUGGUACCA